AACACUGUUAACCUGCGGUACCUGCGGAGGGAUCAUUACCGAGUUUACAGCUCCCAAACCCCUGUGAACAUACCACUUGUUGCCUCGGCGGAUCAGCCCGCUCCCGGUAAAACGGGACGGCCCGCCAGAGGACCCCUAAACUCUGUUUCUAUAUGUAACUUCUGAGUAAAACCAUAAAUAAAUCAAAACUUUUAACAACGGAUCU
rnacentral:misc_RNA from 1 species